rnacentral:rRNA from 1 species
UACACUCCUGCGGGAGGCAGCAGUGGGGAAUUUUGGACAAUGGGCGAAAGCCUGAUCCAGCCAUGCCGCGUGAGUGAAGAAGGCCUUCGGGUUGUAAAGCUCUUUUGUCAGGGAAGAAACGGUGAGAGCUAAUAUCUUUUGCUAAUGACGGUACCUGAAGAAUAAGCACCGGCUAACUACGUGCCAGCAGCCGCGGUAAUACGUAGGGUGCAAGCGUUAAUCGGAAUUACUGGGCGUAAAGCGUGCGCAGGCGGUUUUGUAAGUCUGAUGUGAAAUCCCCGGGCUCAACCUGGGAAUUGCAUUGGAGACUGCAAGGCUAGAAUCUGGCAGAGGGGGGUAGAAUUCCACGUGUAGCAGUGAAAUGCGUAGAUAUGUGGAGGAACACCGAUGGCGAAGGCAGCCCCCUGGGUCAAGAUUGACGCUCAUGCACGAAAGCGUGGGGAGCAAACAGGAUUAGAUACCCGUGUAGUCCCAUG